rnacentral:rRNA from 1 species
GAUGAACGCUGGCGGCGUGCCUAACACAUGCAAGUCGAGCGAACAGACGAGGUGCUUGCUCCUCUGACGUUAACGGCGGACGGGAGAGUAACACGUGCAUAACCUACCUAUAAGACUGGGAUAACUUCGGGAAACCGGAACUAAUACCGGACAAUAUAUUGAACCGCAUUGUUCAAUAGUGUUAUACGGUUUUGCUGUCACUUAUAGCUGGAUCCGUGCCGCAUUAGCUAGUUGGUAAGGUAACGGCUUACCAAGGCAACGAUGCGUAGCCGACCAGAGAGGGGGAUCGGCCCCAGUGGAAGAGAGACACGGUCCAGACUCCGACGGGAGGCAGGAGUAGGGAACCAUCCGCAGUGGGCGAGAGGCUGACGGAGCAACGGGGCGUGGGUGGUGGAGGUCUUCGGAUCGUAAAACUCUGUUAUUAGGGGAGAACAAAUGUGUAAGUAACUAUGGAAGUCUUGACGGUACCUAAGCAGAAGGCCACGCCUAACUACGU